ensembl:rRNA 5S_rRNA 5S ribosomal RNA
UGUCACAGCCAUAUCACCCUGCAGCCCAAGAGUGGUUACUCACUGAAGCUAAGCAGGGCUGAGCCUGGUCAGUACCUGGAUGGUAGACCUCAUGGGCAAACUAGAUUGCUGUUGGAA